UGUCACUAUACCCCACUCCCUCUAGCAUGUAAGCUCACUGAGCAGGGCCCUCAAUCCCUCUGUUACUGUGCCACUAUACCCCACUCCCUCUAGCAUGUAAGCUCACUGAGCAGGCCCUCAAUCCCUCUGUUACUGUGUCACUAUACCCCACUCCCUCUAGAAUGUAAUCUCACUGAGCAGGACCCUCAAUCCCUCUGUUACUGUGUCACUAUACCCCACUCCCUCUAACAUGUAAACUCACUGAGCAGGCCCUCAAUCCCUCUGUUACUGUGUCACUAUACCCCACUCCCUCUAACAUGUAAACUCACUGAGCAGGGCCCCUCAAUCCCUCUGUUACUGUGUCACUAUACCCCGCUCCCUCUAGCAUGUAAACUCACUGAGCAGGGCCCUCAAUCCCUCUGUUACUGUGUCACUAUACCCCACUCCCUCUAACAUGUAAACUCACUGAGCAGGGCCCUCAAUCCCUCUGUUACUGUGCCACUAUACCCCACUCCCUCUAACAUGUAAACUCACUGAGCAGGCCCUCAAUCCCUCUGUUACUGUGUCACUAUACCCCACUCCCUCUAGCAUGUAAGCUCACUGAGCAGGGCCCUCAAUCCCUCUGUUACUGUGUCACUAUACCCCACUCCCUCUAGCAUGUAAGCUCACUGAGCAGGGCCCUCAAUCCCUCUGUUACUGUGUCACUAUACCCCACUCCCUCUAACAUGUAAACUCACUGAGCAGGGCCCUCAAUCCCUCUGUUACUGUGUCACUAUACCCCACUCCCUCUAACAUGUAAGCUCACUGAGCAGGCCCUCAAUCCCUCUGUUACUGUGUCACUAUACCCCACUCCCUCUAACAUGUAAGCUCACUGAGCAGGGCCCUCAAUCCCUCUGUUACUGUGUCACUAUACCCCACUCCCUCUAGCAUGUAAGCUCACUGAGCAGGGCCCUCAAUCCCUCUGUUACUGUGCG